GGGUUGUGAGGUUAAGCGACUAAGCGUACACGGUGGAUGCCCUGGCAGUCAGAGGCGAUGAAGGGCGUGCUAAUCUGCGAUAAGCGCCGGUAAGGUGAUAUGAACCGUUAUAACCGGCGAUACCCGAAUGGGGAAACCCAGUGUGACUCGUCACACUAUCAUUAACUGAAUCCAUAGGUUAAUGAGGCGAACCGGGGGAACUGAAACAUCUAAGUACCCCGAGGAAAAGAAAUCAACCGAGAUUCCCCCAGUAGCGGCGAGCGAACGGGGAGGAGCCCAGAGCCUGAAUCAGCAUGUGUGUUAGUGGAAGCGUCUGGAAAGGCGCGCGAUACAGGGUGACAGCCCCGUACACAAAAGCGCAUGUGCUGUGAGCUCGAUGAGUAGGGCGGGACACGUGGUAUCCUGUCUGAAUAUGGGGGGACCAUCCUCCAAGGCUAAAUACUCCUGACUGACCGAUAGUGAACCAGUACCGUGAGGGAAAGGCGAAAAGAACCCCGGCGAGGGGAGUGAAAAAGAACCUGAAACCGUGUACGUACAAGCAGUGGGAGCACAGGUUUACCUGUGUGACUGCGUACCUUUUGUAUAAUGGGUCAGCGACUUAUAUUCUGUAGCAAGGUUAACCGUAUAGGGGAGCCGGAGGGAAACCGAGUCUUAAUUGGGCGUUAAGUUGCAGGGUAUAGACCCGAAACCCGGUGAUCUAGCCAUGGGCAGGUUGAAGGUUGGGUAACACUAACUGGAGGACCGAACCGACUAAUGUUGAAAAAUUAGCGGAUGACCUGUGGCUGGGGGUGAAAGGCCAAUCAAACCGGGAGAUAGCUGGUUCUCCCCGAAAGCUAUUUAGGUAGCGCCUCGUGAAUUCAUCUCCGGGGGUAGAGCACUGUUUCGGCUAGGGGGCCAUCCCGGCUUACCAACCCGAUGCAAACUGCGAAUACCGGAGAAUGUUAUCACGGGAGACACACGGCGGGUGCUAACGUCCGUCGUGAAGAGGGAAACAACCCAGACCGCCAGCUAAGGUCCCAAAGUCAUGGUUAAGUGGGAAACGAUGUGGGAAGGCCCAGACAGCCAGGAUGUUGGCUUAGAAGCAGCCAUCAUUUAAAGAAAGCGUAAUAGCUCACUGGUCGAGUCGGCCUGCGCGGAAGAUGUAACGGGGCUAAACCAUGCACCGAAGCUGCGGCAGCGACACUGUGUGUUGUUGGGUAGGGGAGCGUUCUGUAAGCCUGUGAAGGUGUGUCGUGAGGCAUGCUGGAGGUAUCAGAAGUGCGAAUGCUGACAUAAGUAACGAUAAAGCGGGUGAAAAGCCCGCUCGCCGGAAGACCAAGGGUUCCUGUCCAACGUUAAUCGGGGCAGGGUGAGUCGACCCCUAAGGCGAGGCCGAAAGGCGUAGUCGAUGGGAAACAGGUUAAUAUUCCUGUACUUGGUGUUACUGCGAAGGGGGGACGGAGAAGGCUAUGUUGGCCGGGCGACGGUUGUCCCGGUUUAAGCGUGUAGGUGUGUGUUCCAGGUAAAUCCGGUUCACUUUAACACUGAGGCGUGAUGACGAGGCACUACGGUGCUGAAGCAACAAAUGCCCUGCUUCCAGGAAAAGCCUCUAAGCAUCAGGUAACAUCAAAUCGUACCCCAAACCGACACAGGUGGUCAGGUAGAGAAUACCAAGGCGCUUGAGAGAACUCGGGUGAAGGAACUAGGCAAAAUGGUGCCGUAACUUCGGGAGAAGGCACGCUGACACGUAGGUGAAGUGAUUUACUCAUGGAGCUGAAGUCAGUCGAAGAUACCAGCUGGCUGCAACUGUUUAUUAAAAACACAGCACUGUGCAAACACGAAAGUGGACGUAUACGGUGUGACGCCUGCCCGGUGCCGGAAGGUUAAUUGAUGGGGUCAGCGCAAGCGAAGCUCCUGAUCGAAGCCCCGGUAAACGGCGGCCGUAACUAUAACGGUCCUAAGGUAGCGAAAUUCCUUGUCGGGUAAGUUCCGACCUGCACGAAUGGCGUAAUGAUGGCCAGGCUGUCUCCACCCGAGACUCAGUGAAAUUGAACUCGCUGUGAAGAUGCAGUGUACCCGCGGCAAGACGGAAAGACCCCGUGAACCUUUACUAUAGCUUGACACUGAACAUUGAGCCUUGAUGUGUAGGAUAGGUGGGAGGCUUUGAAGCGUGGACGCCAGUCUGCGUGGAGCCGACCUUGAAAUACCACCCUUUAAUGUUUGAUGUUCUAACGUGGACCCGUUACCCGGGUUGCGGACAGUGUCUGGUGGGUAGUUUGACUGGGGCGGUCUCCUCCUAAAGAGUAACGGAGGAGCACGAAGGUUGGCUAAUCCUGGUCGGACAUCAGGAGGUUAGUGCAAUGGCAUAAGCCAGCUUGACUGCGAGCGUGACGGCGCGAGCAGGUGCGAAAGCAGGUCAUAGUGAUCCGGUGGUUCUGAAUGGAAGGGCCAUCGCUCAACGGAUAAAAGGUACUCCGGGGAUAACAGGCUGAUACCGCCCAAGAGUUCAUAUCGACGGCGGUGUUUGGCACCUCGAUGUCGGCUCAUCACAUCCUGGGGCUGAAGUAGGUCCCAAGGGUAUGGCUGUUCGCCAUUUAAAGUGGUACGCGAGCUGGGUUUAGAACGUCGUGAGACAGUUCGGUCCCUAUCUGCCGUGGGCGCUGGAGAACUGAGGGGGGCUGCUCCUAGUACGAGAGGACCGGAGUGGACGCAUCACUGGUGUUCGGGUUGUCAUGCCAAUGGCACUGCCCGGUAGCUAAAUGCGGAAGAGAUAAGUGCUGAAAGCAUCUAAGCACGAAACUUGCCCCGAGAUGAGUUCUCCCUGAGACUUAGAGUCUCCUGAAGGAACGUUGAAGACGACGACGUUGAUAGGCCGGGUGUGUAAGCGCAGCGAUGCGUUGAGCUAACCGGUACUAAUGAACCGUGAGGCUUAACCUUACAACGCCGAAGCUGUU
rnacentral:rRNA from 1 species